GCCAGCAGCCAUAUCACUCACAACUGGCAACCCACUGAAGCUAAGCAGGUGUGAGCCUGGUCAGUACCUGGAUGGGAGACCUCCUGGGAAAAACGAAGGUUGCUGCUGGAA
rnacentral:rRNA from 1 species